rnacentral:rRNA from 1 species
UACGUAGGGGGCAAGCGUUGUCCGGAAUCAUUGGGCGUAAAGCGCGCGUAGGCGGCCCGGUAAGUCCGCUGUCAAAGUCAGGGGCUCAACCCUUGAACGCCGGUGGAUACUGCCGGGCUAGAGUCCGGAAGAGGCGAGUGGAAUUCCUGGUGUAGCGGUGGAAUGCGCAGAUAUCAGGAGGAACACCAAUAGCGAAGGCAGCUCGCUGGGACGGUACUGACGCUGAGGCGCGAAAGCGUGGGGAGCGAACAGG